GCCUAAAUACUAAUCAUUUACCGAUAGUGAACAAGUACUGUGAAGGAAAGAUGAAAAGAACCCAGAUAUGGGAGUGAAAUAGAACAUGAAAUUACUAGCCUACAAAGUGUCAAAGCACAUUCAUGUGUAAUGGCGUGCGUUUUGAAGUAUGAGCCGGAGAGUUAUUGCAAGUUGCAAAGUUAAACAAAAAGUGGAGCUGAAGCGAAAGCGAGUCUGAAUAGGGCGUUUUAGUAGGUUGCAAUAGACCCGAAAGGGGACGAGCUAGCCAUGAGCAGGUUGAAAUUUGAAUAACAUCAGAUGAAGGACUGAACCGACUGUCGUUGAAAUGAUAGCGGAUGACUUGUGGCUAGAGGUGAAAUUCCAAUCGAGUUCCCUGAUAGCUGGUUUUUGUCGAUAUAGUUUUAGGACUAGCGUCAGGCAAAAUAUUAGGUGGAGGUAAAGCACUAAAUCUAUAAGGGCAUCUCGCGAUGUACCAAAUAGAAUUAAACUCUGAAUUCCAUCUAAUUUAUCCUGGCAGUGAGACUAUUUGGGAUAAGCUUUAUAGUCGUAAGGGAAAGAGCCCAGACCAACAAAUAAGGUCCCUAAAUUAAGCUAAGUGGAAAAGGAAGUCAAAAUUCAUAAACAACUAGGAUGUUGGCUUAGAAGCAGCCAUCAUUUAAAGAGUGCGUAACAGCUCACUAGUCUAGUUUUUUGGCGCCGCAAGUAUAACGGGGCUAAGCUUAAUACCGAAUUUUUGGAUUUAUAUUUUCUAAAUGUAAGUGGUAGACAAAUGUUGUAUAAGGCUUGAAGUUUGAGCGAAAGUACGAAUGGACUUUAUACAAGUAAGAAUUCCGGCGUGAGUAACGAAUGAAAGUGAGAAUCUUUCUAGCCGAUUGAUUAAGGUUUCCGGGGCUAGGUUCGUCCUCCUCGGGUUAGUCGAUCCUAAGGUGAGGUCGAAAGACGUAAUUGAUGGACAACAGGUUAAUAUUCCUGUACUACCUUGGAUAUUUGAUGGGCCGACAAAAGAGGUUGAGGUAAGAGGAUUAAUGGAUUUCCUUACAAGAUUUCGAGCAAGUUAGGGAUGAAAACCACCCUAGCAUAAUUGUGAGAGUCGAUAUCAAUUCUUGAUAGCAAUAUCUAGAAAAGUUACUAUCAAUCUGAUUUUCCAGAAAAAGCUCUAAAUUACACAUCCAGGGUAUUCGUACCGAAAACGAACACACGUGAUCAAGGAGAAUAUCCUAAGGCUAGCGAGCUAACUACAGUUAAGGAACUCUGCAAAUUAACUCUGUAACUUAGGGAGAAAGAGUGCCCGAGAUAAUAUUUCGGGUCACAGUAAAGAAUGAGGGCGGACUGUUUAACAAAAACACAGCUAUAUGCAAAAUUCAAACAUGAAGUAUAUGUGGCGACACCUGCCCGGUGCCAGAAGGUCAAAGAAGGAGGUCAAGCCGAAAGGCUGCAGCUUUUAACUUAAGCCCUGGUGAACGGCGGCCGUAACUAUAACGGUCCUAAGGUAGCGAAAUUCCUUGUCAGGUAAAUUCUGUCCCGCUUGAAUGGUGUAACC
rnacentral:rRNA from 1 species